UAGGGAAUCUUCCGCAAUGGCCGCAAGUCUGACGGAGCAACGCCGCGUGAGUGAAGAAGGAUUUCGGUUCGUAAAACUCUGUUGUUAGAGAAGAACAGCGCAUAGAGUAACUGUUAUGCGUGUGACGGUAUCUAACCAGAAAGCCACGGCUAACUACGUGCCAGCAGCCGCGGUAAUACGUAGGUGGCAAGCGUUGUCCGGAUUUAUUGGGCGUAAAGCGAGCGCAGGCGGUCAAUUAAGUCUGAUGUGAAAGCCCCCGGCUCAACCGGGGAGGGUCAUUGGAAACUGGUUGAAUUGAGUGCAGAAGAGGAGAGUGGAAUUCCAUGUGUAGCGGUGAAAUGCGUAGAUAUAUGGAGGAACACCAGUGGCGAAGGCGACUCUCUGGUCUGUAACUGACGCUGAGGCUCGAAAGCGUGGGUAGCAAACAGG
rnacentral:rRNA from 1 species